GCCCUUUCUUUAGCUCAGCUGAUUUGAGUGUGGUGCUAAUAAUGCCAAGGUUGCAGUUUCGAUCCCCGUAUAUAGGACA